AGAGUGAUAGCUGAUUUGUAACAUUUUAAUCAAAAAGUCUGCAAAAUGAACCAGGCACCAAAUCUUCACUAGGAUCCCGAGGAGCCACAGGAUUACUGCUGAUCUGUGAUCUAAAUUGAGGAGGCAGCAUGUAAAAAUCCCUGUCUCUUAUGGAGAUCAGAGGCUGUGGAGGUUAAGGCUGCAUCAUCCCUGGUACCCCAAAAGAUAUCUAUCACUCUGACACCCUGAGGUUCAGGAGAGCUUGGUCAGCUCUUCACUCAACAUUUGUAAGCGCUUAGCACUAGCAUUCCUAGUACCAAUUCAAGUAAAUAUACU
rnacentral:lncRNA from 1 species